rnacentral:rRNA from 1 species
AGCGUAUAUUAAAGUUGUUGCAGUUAAAACGUUCGUAGUUGAAUUUGUGUUCCACACGGGCAGUACACCUAAAUCUUGGGUUUGUACAUUGCCUUAAAAUUAAAAAUGUGUGUGAACGUAUUACCGGCUGAAUUUAUAUUUUUAAUAUGAAUUCACAUAUUAUAUGUCCUACUUCAGUGCUCUUAAUCGAGUGCUGUUGUGGGCCGGUACAAUUACUUUGAACAAAUUAGAGUGCUUAAAGCAGGCUUUUAAUGCCUGAAUAUUUGUGCAUGGAAUAAUGGAAGAGGACAUCUGUUCUAUUUUCUAUUGGUUUUUAGAUCAAGAUGUAAUGAUUAAUAGAAGCAGUUGGGGGCAUUAGUAUUACGACGCGAGAGGUGAAAUUCUUGGACCGUCGUAAGACUGACUAAAGCGAAAGCAUUUGCCAAAUAUGUUUUCAUUAAUCAAGAACGAAAGUUAGAGGUUCGAAGGCGAUCAGAUACCGCCCUAGUUCUAACCAUAAACGAUGUCAGCUAGCAAUUGAAUGUAGCUACUACUAUGGCUCUUUCAGACGCUUCUCGGGAAACCAAAGCUUUUGGGCUCCGGGGGAAGUAUGGUUGCAAAGCUGAAACUUAAAGGAAUUGACGGAAGGGCACCGCCAGGAGUGGAGCCUGCGGCUUAAUUUGACUCAACACGGGAAAACUUACCAGGUCCGAACAUAAAUAAGUAAGACAGAUUGAUAGCUCUUUCUCGAAUCUAUGGGUGGUGGUGCAUGGCCGUUCUUAGUUCGUGGAGUGAUUUGUCUGGUUAAUUCCGAUAACGAACGAGACUCAAAUAUAUUAAAUAGAUGCAUUCAGGAUUAUGGUGUUGAAGCUUAUAUGCUCGCCUGUUUUCGUUCCUCACGGUGCGUUUGCAGUUGUGUAUGUAUGUAAGUGGAGCCAUACCUGUUUGUUUGUCUAAUUAAAAAUAGACACUAGCUUCUUAAAUGGACAAAUUG